rnacentral:rRNA from 1 species
GGACCUUCGGGCCUUGCGCGAUUGGAUAUGCCCAGGUGGGAUUAGCUAGUUGGUGAGGUAAUGGCUCACCAAGGCGACGAUCCCUAGCUGGUCUGAGAGGAUGAUCAGCCACACUGGAACUGAGACACGGUCCAGACUCCUACGGGAGGCAGCAGUGGGGAAUAUUGCACAAUGGGGGAAACCCUGAUGCAGCCAUGCCGCGUGUGUGAAGAAGGCCUUCGGGUUGUAAAGCACUUUCAGCGAGGAGGAAAG